rnacentral:rRNA from 1 species
CUGGCGGCAGGCCUAACACAUGCAAGUCGAGCAGAUGACGGGAGCUUGCUCCUUGAUUCAGCGGCGGACGGGUGAGUAAUGCCUAGGAAUCUGCCUGGUAGUGGGGGACAACGUUUCGAAAGGAACGCUAAUACCGCAUACGUCCUACGGGAGAAAGCAGGGGACCUUCGGGCCUUGCGCUAUCAGAUGAGCCUAGGUCGGAUUAGCUUGUUCGUGAGGUAAUGGCUCACCAAGGCGACGAUCCGUAACUGGUCUGAGAGGAUGAUCAGUCACACUGGAACUGAGACACGGUCCAGACUCCUACGGGAGGCAGCUGUGGGGAAUAUUGGACAAUGGGCGAAAGCCUGAUCCAGCCAUGCCGCGUGUGUGAAGAAGGUCUUCGGAUUGUAAAGCACUUUAAGUUGGGAGGAAGGGUUGUAGAUUAAUACUCUGCAAUUUUGACGUUACCGACAGAAUAAGCACCGGCUAACUCUGUGCCAGCAGCCGCGGUAAUACAGAGGGUGCAAGCGUUAAUCGGAAUUACUGGGCGUAAAGCGCGCGUAGGUGGUUUGUUAAGUUGGAUGUGAAAGCCCCGGGCUCAACCUGGGAACUGCAUCCAAAACUGGCAAGCUAGAGUACGGAAGAGGGUGGUGGAAUUUCCUGUGUAGCGGUGAAAUGCGUAGAUAUAGGAAGGAACACCAGUGGCGAAGGCGACCACCUGGACUGAUACUGACACUGAGGUGCGAAAGCGUGGGGAGCAAACAGGAGUAGAUACCCUGGUAGUCCACGCCGUAAACGAUGUCAACUAGCCGUUGGAAUCCUUGAGAUUUUAGUGGCGCAGCUAACGCAUUAAGUUGACCGCCUGGGGAGUACGGCCGCAAGGUUAAAACUCAAAUGAAUUGACGGGGGCCCGCACAAGACGGUGGAGCAUGUGGUUUAAUUCGAAGCAACGCGAAGAACCUUACCAGGCCUUGACAUGCAGAGAACUUUCCAGAGAUGGAUUGGUGCCUUCGGGAACUCUGACACAGGUGCUGCAUGGCUGUCGUCAGCUCGUGUCGUGAGAUGUUGGGUUAAGUCCCGUAACGAGCGCAACCCUUGUCCUUAGUUACCAGCACGUUAUGGUGGGCACUCUAAGGAGACUGCCGGUGACAAACCGGAGGAAGGUGGGGAUGACGUCAAGUCAUCAUGGCCCUUACGGCCUG